rnacentral:lncRNA from 1 species
GCCAUUUUCAAUUGCAUCCCAAAUACCUUUGUCAAGUGAUUCUACAAAGAUUUUCAUUAUGACUUUCCAAACUUGGUAAUUCAAACUACAAAACAGAGGUGGUCUGUUGAUUGAAGCACCUUCCCCAAAAGGUAGUCUAUCAGCCAUAAAAAACAGUUUUAGGAUCACACUUGAAUAAAUUCAAGAACCAAGCUCUUGAUGCCAAUUGUAAGAAUGUAUGGCUUUAAACUAGAGGGGGGGGGGUGAAUGG